AGCUUUAAGACAUAAAUUAAAGUAUAACCUGCUCAAUGAUACAUUAAAUAGCCGCAGACCACUGUGCUAAGGUAGCAUAAUAAUUAGCCUCUUAAUUAGAUGAUUGUAUGAAAGGUCACACUAUUAAUAACUGUUUCUUAUUAAUAAAUAAAAUUCAUCAUUAUGUAAAAAAGCAUAAAUAUAAUCAUAGGACGACAAGACCCUGCUAAACUUAAUAUUUAAUUGGGGUAAUAAAUUAAUUAUAAUUUAAUAAUAAACAAAACAAAACUACUAUAAGAAAUAAUGAAUAGUUACUACAGGGAUAACAGCGCAAUAUUUUUCUAAAGCUCUUAUAUAAAAAAAUGAUUACGACCUCGAUGUUGAAUUAAUUUAACUAUUUGGUGCAAAAACUAAAAAAGUGGGUCUGUUCGACCUUUAAUAAAUU
rnacentral:rRNA from 1 species